GUCUAAGUAUAAGCAAUUAUACCGUGAAACUGCGAAUGGCUCAUUAAAUCAGUUAUCGUUUAUUUGAUAAUACCUUACUACUUGGAUAACCGUGGUAAUUCUAGAGCUAAUACAUGCUGAAAAUCCCGACUUCGGAAGGGAUGUGUUUAUUAGAUAAAAAACCAAUGCCCUUCGGGGCUCCUUGGUGAUUCAUGAUAACUUUACGGAUCGCAUAGCCUUGCGCUGGCGACGGUUCAUUCAAAUUUCUGCCCUAUCAACUUUCGAUGGUAAGGUAUUGGCUUACCAUGGUUUCAACGGGUAACGGGGAAUUAGGGUUCGAUUCCGGAGAGGCAGCCUGAGAAACGGCUACCACAUCCCAGGAAGGCAGCAGGCGCGCAAAUUACCCAAUCCCGACACGGGGAGGUAGUGACAAUAAAUACUGAUACAGGGCUCUUUUGGGUCUUGUAAUUGGAAUGAGUACAAUUUAAACCUCUUAACGAGGAACAAUUGGAGGGCAAGUCUGGUGCCAGCAGCCGCGGUAAUUCCAGCUCCAAUAGCGUAUAUUAAAGUUGUUGCAGUUAAAAAGCUCGUAGUUGAAACUUGGGCCUGGCUGGCGGGUCCGCCUCACCGCGUGCACUCGUCCGGCCGGGCCUUCCUUCUGAAGAACCUCAUGCCCUUCACUGGGCGUGCUGGGGAAUCAGGACUUUUACUUUGAAAAAAUUAGAGUGUUCAAAGCAGGCCUUUGCUCGAAUACGUUAGCAUGGAAUAAUAAAAUAGGGCGUGCGUUUCUAUUUUGUUGGUUUCUAGAGACGCCGCAAUGAUUAACAGGAACAGUCGGGGGCAUCAGUAUUCAGUUGUCAGAGGUGAAAUUCUUGGAUUUACUGAAGACUAACUACUGCGAAAGCAUUUGCCAAGGAUGUUUUCAUUAAUCAGUGAACGAAAGUUAGGGGAUCGAAGACGAUCAGAUACCGUCGUAGUCUUAACCGUAAACUAUGCCGACUAGGGAUCGGGCGAUGUUCUUUUUCUGACUCGCUCGGCACCUUACGAGAAAUCAAAGUUUUUGGGUUCUGGGGGGAUUAUGUCGCAAG
rnacentral:rRNA from 1 species